rnacentral:rRNA from 1 species
UACAGGGGGUGCAAACGUUGCUCGGAAUUAUUGGGCGUAAAGCGCGCGUAGGCGGCCACUUAAGUCGGAUGUGAAAGCCCCUGGCUCAACUGGGGGAAGUGCACCCGAAACUGAAUGGCUUGAAUGCAAAAGAGGGUCGCGGAAUUCCCGGUGUAGAGGUGAAAUUCGUAGAUAUCUGGAGGAACACCGGUGGCGAAGGCGGCAUCCUGGACCAAUAUUGACGCUGAGGAGCGAAAGCCAGGGGAGCAAACGGG